CGGGAAAAGCUCAAAUUUAAAAUCUGGCGGUCUCUGGCCGUCCGAGUUGUAAUUUGCAGAGGAUGCUUUUGACAAGGUGCCUUCCGAGUUCCCUGGAACGGGACGCCAUAGAGGGUGAGAGCCCCGUCUGGUCGGAUACCGCGUCUCUGUAAAGCUCCUUCGAC
rnacentral:rRNA from 1 species